ACCCUCACCUGGCAGGGGAGACGCCGUGAUCACGAAGGUGGUUUUCCCGGGGGAGACUUACCCACUGCACUCAGAUGUGCUGACCCCUGCAAUAUCCCCAAAUGUGGGGAACUUGGCUGCAUAACCUGUGGUAGUGGGGGACUGAGUUCAGUUAGCGCUCUCCCCUG